rnacentral:rRNA from 1 species
GGAAUCUUCCACAAUGGGCGCAAGCCUGAUGGAGCAACGCCGCGUGAGUGAAGAAGGUCUUCGGAUCGUAAAACUCUGUUGUUAGAGAAGAACACGAGUGAGAGUAACUGUUCAUUCGAUGACGGUAUCUAACCAGCAAGUCACGGCUAACUACGUGUCAG